rnacentral:rRNA from 1 species
UGGGGAAUAUUGCACAAUGGGCGAAAGCCUGAUGCAGCAACGCCGCGUGAGUGAUGAAGGCCUUCGGGUUGUAAAGCUCUGUCUUUUGGGACGAUAAUGACGGUACCAAAGGAGAAAGCCACGGCUAACUACGUGCCAGCAGCCGCGGUAAUACGUAGGUGGCAAGCGUUGUCCGGAUUUACUGGGCGUAAAGGAUGCGUAGGCGGAUUUUUAAGUGAGAUGUGAAAUACCCGGGCUUAACUUGGGUGCUGCAUUUCAAACUGGGAAUCUAGAGUGCGGGAGGGGAGAAUGGAAUUCCUAGUGUAGCGGUGAAAUGCGUAGAGAUUAGGAAGAACACCAGUGGCGAAGGCGAUUCUCUGGACCGUAACCGACGCUGAGGCAUGAAAGCGUGGGUAGCAAACAGGAUUAGAUACCCUGGUAGUCCACGCCGUAAACGAUGAGUACUAGGUGUAGGAGGUAUCGACCCCUUCUGUGCCGCAGUUAACACAAUAAGUACU